rnacentral:tRNA from 1 species
GAGGUCUUAGCUUAAUUAAAGUGUCUGAGUUGCAAUCAGGAGAUGUGAAUUUGGUUUGCAGGCCUU